ensembl:lncRNA
GCAUGGUAAUUUGCAGAUUACAUAUGAAGUAUCUAAUUGAAGAACCAAAUGCUGUAGUUAUUAGCAACUAGAACAGUUUAGUAAAAGACCAAAGUGUAGUGUUCCUCACUGGAUCAGGGUAAUACUUUCACAAAAUCUGAGGUGUGUGUCUUAUCCAGACUAUAGCUGUGCUUGUCACUAUGAUAAUGCAGUAUAUUAAGAAAAUAUAAUCCCUUAAGCCACUAGAAAUAGACGUAAUUUGUUUGUGAUGUGUGAUAAUGAUCCCUCAGUUUCUUCUCUCUUGCUUCUGCUAUGGUACCAAAGCAAAAAGAGUACUCAUAGUGCAUGCAGAUUCAUUAGGAAGAAAAUGCAAAAACGUUAUCUCUUCCAAUUUGCUAGAGCACUGAUGAGAAUUAACUUAAGUCACUAUAUAAUUUGUAAAUAUUUGUCUUUUUAAAAUGAUAAUAAAAAGUAACAAAUAAUAAAGUGAACAAAAAAAAGAGGGGAAGUAUAAACAGAAAAUUUGUGCUACUAGCAAUGCUGUAAGCUCAAAUAGCAAUGUGAGAGUUUUAAUACCCCUUUAAUACCCCUCUUUUUCAUUAAUGGAUGUGUAAACAUGAAGAAUUUUUCCAGUGUUGAGAAUGAACAGCAUAUGUUGUAUUUUGUAUCAUAACGCUACCAAACAGGUAAAUGAUUAUCAUGAGUUCUACAACAUGUGAAGGGACAAGGGCUGGAUGUCAGUAGGCUGAUUAAAGGUAGACGGGUCAUGAUGCUUCACGGAAUUAAAGAUACUAAUCAGAUUCUGAGCUUAAGGGACAGAAAUAGAAAAAGAAGUGGAACAAGACUACGAACAACAUUGCUCCCUCUUUUAUCUUUAAUUUUAGUAUAGGUAAUUUUACUGACUAAGACUUUUCAGACAAAGCUGAGAAAUGCAAAGCCCUAACAAGCUGAGUAAAUUUUUUUUUUUUUUUUUUUAAUUUGCUUUAGUUGUUAAACGUUAAAUAACCUGCAGCCCUUUUUUUGGCUCAGCGAUCGGAAAGGUAGGUAUAUAUAGCAUAUUGUGGCCAACUGGGGUUGACAGUACAGAAGUGGAUAAGUCCAAAGGAAAAAAAUAUUGAACUUGUUAUCCUAUUAAGCCUUAGUAAGACAACCUGCACAUCCUUCAUGAGCUUAGAAAAGCAAACUAUUCACAGACAGUCCAUAAUAGCAAGCAGACGUCUGAGGAAAAUGAAUCCUGUCUCAUAGUGAUAAAGAGUGGAACCCAGAUGCCCUCAGAUCUUAGAAAUGAGUAGAAAAAGAAGAAAAAGCUACAAGGGCAGAAAGAGCUCUGAUUCCAGAGAAUAUGAACAGUUGUCGGUCACUUGUAAAUGCCAACGAAAUGUAGAAAACGUUGAAAAUAAAGCAGAUGAGAAUCUGGCUCACUUUCCUGAGCCGCUGGAAGUGAAGGUUUCUGAAGAAAACAGGAAAGAUCAUGAAAUCAAGAAUCGGAGUAGCACAGAUGCAUCUGAAGGCAGAGAACUUGAUAACGCCUCAGACAGCGAAAAAGAAGGAAAGAAGGAAAAGAAUUGCACUCCUCAAGUGUUCUCUCCUCAGCAAAAUGAAAUUCUAGCUACAGUAACUUUUGGCGAAUCAGAGGAUUCAUCGAUGGGAAAAAUUACAGUGUGGGGCAAGCCAGACUCUGCAGAGUCUGCUAGUGUGGUUACUGGAAAAAUUACUGCAGAAGUAAAAUAUGGCUCCCUUAAUGUGAAAGUAGAAAUUAAGAAUGUUUCUUUGUUCGAUUCUGGAACAAACCUUGUGGCUGAGAAAAAGAAAUGCUCGAAAAGCAGUAAACAUUGUCAUGAAAGACAAUACCAAAAA